rnacentral:lncRNA from 1 species
UUUUUCAUUUCUGAAAAUUUCCACUUAAUAUAAUUUUCAGAAAAUGGUUGACCGCAGGUAACUGAAGCCAUUGGAAAGAGAAAACGUCAGAAAGACUUUCUCCGUGGCUGCCUCAUCCUAUGGAACUCAGCUCAGACCAGACGUGGAUUCCCUCCACAGAGCCCUCCUUCGCUUAAGAUUGGGCUAGGUGGCCAUUACCAAGAGCUAGCAUUGGCCUCUGUUUCCCUGCACCUGGGAAGAAUUUAUGCUAACCAGCUGCGAGGAAGAAGCAAAGAGAUGACACCAGAAAAACAAUGAGGAGGAAAUACUCCAAUGUUUCAACAGGUAGUUGAUUUUAAUUUUCUUACAUAUUUCCAUCGAUUGUC